AGAGUUUGAUCCUGGCUCAGAGCGAACGCUGGCGGCGUGCCUAACACAUGCAAGUCGAACGUGAAAGGGGGCAACCCUGAGUAAAGUGGCGUACGGGUGAGUAACACGUAGGUAAUCUACCCCAGAGUCUGGAAUAACCUGCCGAAAGGCGGGCUAAUACUAGAUAGAGCGACGGAACUCGUAAUCGGGUUUUUCGGGAA
rnacentral:rRNA from 1 species